GAUGAACGCUGGCGGCGUGCUUAACACAUGCAAGUCGAACGGAGCGCCCUUGAUAGAGGUUUCGGCCAAUGGAAAGGGUUGCUUAGUGGCGGACGGGUGAGUAACGCGUGAGCAACCUGCCUUUCAGUGGGGAAUAACAGCCGGAAACGGUUGCUAAUACCGCAUGAUGUAUCGGGAUCGCAUGAUUCUGAUACCAAAGAUUUAUUGCUGAAAGAUGGGCUCGCGUCUGAUUAGCUAGUUGGUGAGGCUAUGGCUCACCAAGGCGACGAUCAGUAGCCGGACUGAGAGGUUGACCGGCCACAUUGGGACUGAGAUACGGCCCAGACUCCUACGGGAGGCAGCAGUGGGGAAUAUUGGGCAAUGGGCGCAAGCCUGACCCAGCAACGCCGCGUGAAGGAAGAAGGCUCUCGGGUUGUAAACUUCUUUUGUCAGGGACGAAACAAAUGACGGUACCUGACGAAUAAGCCACGGCUAACUACGUGCCAGCAGCCGCGGUAAUAC
rnacentral:rRNA from 1 species